UACGGAGGAUGCGAGCGUUAUCCGGAUUAUUGGGUUUAAAGGGUGCGCAGGCGGAAUGUCAAGUCAGCGGUAAAAUUUCGGGGCUCAACCCCGUCGUGCCGUUGAAACUGGCGUUCUUGAGUGAGCGAGAAGUAUGCGGAAUGCGUGGUGUAGCGGUGAAAUGCAUAGAUAUCACGCAGAACUCCGAUGCGAAGGCAGCAUACCGGCGCCCGACGUGA
rnacentral:rRNA from 1 species